GCCACUGGUGGGCGUACCGUUUCGUUUUCUUCCCGCCGACGCCUCCUCUCGGUCAGUUCCCCCCGACGCCGCCUCUCCGCCUGCCGCACGCCGCAACCAUGGUUCCGGCGGCGGCGUCCGGCCCUGUCCUCCGGCGGCGCGAUGAGCCACACCGGCGGCGGCCCUCCUUCGCCUCCCAUCGAACCGGCGGCGCCCUCCUUCGCCUCCCCUCGAGCCAGCCGCCCCUCUCCGGCGACCACCCCUUCGGGCCCCUCUUCUCCUCCGGGCGCAAGGAGCUUCCUCGCCGGCGCCAGGAGGUCCCCUUCGGCGGUGACCUUCUCUAUCCCCGCUAGCGCCGUCUCCCCUGGUCGCUUUGCACCCCGUCCGCCUCCCCUGCGAGAUCUUGCAUCCCUGCCUCCCCCGUCUGAUCCGCAGGUAAUCUCCCCCAACUGCCUUGCGUCAGGUCCAGCACGGUGCACGACGAUGCAGCUGCCAAUCUCGCGCGCCCUCCCUCAACGGCGAAGAUGAUGAGGACCGAGGACCCCUUCCUCCCUGCAGCCCUGCGGGCUUCGUCUCCCUGUUCUCGGCUUUCUCCCUCGAGUGCCACCUCGCCACCGGCCUCCUCGCCAAGCUGGAGCACGGCUUACUUCAAUUGAUGAUGAUGCUGUUCGACAGCGCGGCAUUUUAUUUCUUUCUGUACAUAGUGAUGUAUAGAAUCCUCCUUGCUGACUUGAAACUGACCUGCAGUUCUAUCUCCAUGUAAAUGUAAGUAUGAGUUGGGUUCAAUUGCUCUGAAUAACUCUAAAUAGUAAAUACCAUUGUUCUUUUCUGAAAGUUGGCACAAGCAAGUUUUCCGAGAGGGAGAUAAUUAGUGCAAGAGGAUAUUGUUAUAUAAACCAUAUGUCUUUAGUAAAAUUCUAUCGUUGUAAUUGUGU